rnacentral:rRNA from 1 species
AUUGAACUCUGGCGGCCGGCCUAACACAUCCAAGUCGAGCGAGCGGCGGACGGGUGAGUAAUGUAUGGGGACUGCCCGAUAGAGGGGGAUAACUACUGGAAACGGUGGCUAAUACCGCAUACUAUCGGAUAACCCAUAUGUGCUUAGCUAGUAGGUGGGGUAAAGGCUCACCUAGGCGACGAUCUCUAGCUGGUCUGAGAGGAUGAUCAACCCCAAUGGGACUGUGACACGGCCCAAACUCCUCCGGAGGCCGCCGUGGGGAAUAUUGCACCAUGUGAGCAAGCCUGAUGCAGCCAUGCCGCGUGUAUGAAGAAGGCCAUAGGGUUGUACAGUACUUACAGCGGGGAGGCGUUGCCCGCAGAAGAAGCACCGGCUAACUCCGUGCCAGCAGCCGCGGUAAUAC